UACAGAGGUCUCAAGCGUUGUUCGGAUUCAUUGGGCGUAAAGGGUGCGUAGGCGGCGCGGUAAGUCGGGGUGUGAAAUCUCGGAGCUUAAACUCCGAAACUGCAUUCGAUACUGCCGUGCUUGAGGACUGGAGAGGAGACUGGAAUUUACGGUGUAGCGGUGAAAUGCGUAGAUAUCGUAAGGGAAGACCAGUGCGAAGGCGGGUCCCUGGACAGUUCCUG
rnacentral:rRNA from 1 species